ACUCAUAUUACUCAAUACACUGGAAUUCAUCUGGGCUCAGAAGCUCAGAAAGGAUGGACUGGAUAGAACUUGGAUGGGAAACCAUUAAAGAUCUGAAGAGAAUU
rnacentral:rRNA from 1 species